rnacentral:rRNA from 1 species
UAGUCCACGCCGUAAACGAUGACAACUAGAUGCUGGGAGGAUUAGCCUUUCGGUGUCGCAGCUAACGCAUUAAGUUGUCCGCCUGGGGAGUACGCCGGCAACGGUAAAACUCAAAGGAAUUGACGGGGACCCGCACAAGCGGUGGAGCAUGUGGUUUAAUUCGAUGCAACGCGAAGAACCUUACCUGCCCUUGACAUUCUCGAAACUUUCCAGUAGAUGGAUUAGUGCCUUCGGGAGCUCUGUGACAGGUGCUGCAUGGCUGUCGUCAGCUCGUGUCAUGAGAUGUUGGGUUAAGUCCCGUAACGAGCGCAACCCUUGUACCUUAGUUGCCAGCGCGUAAUGGCGGGGAACUCUAACGGUAGACUGCCGGUGACAAACCGGAGGAAGGUGGGGACGACGUCAAGUCAUCAUGGCCCUUUACGACCUGGGCUACACACGUGCUACAAUGGAACGCACAAAGGGGCAGCAAACCCGCGAGGGGGAGCGAAUCCCACAAAACGUUUACGUAGUCCGGAUUGGAAGUCUGCAA